GCCCGAUUAGCUCAGUUGGUCUAGAGCGUCGUACUAAUACCGGUUAACCCCUGUGUAUGGUAUGCGAAGGUCAACAGUUCAAUCCUGUUAUUGGGCA